rnacentral:lncRNA from 1 species
GGACACAGCGUCCAGGCCUUGGCAAGGCUUGGGCGACACUGCCGGGUUCCUGCUUGCGAGCGGUCAGCAUGCAUCUUCACCUGCUCUUGAUAUUGGCGCUAUUUCGGGCCGGCUGCGUGGUGGCAGGUCCUAGCUACAGCCUGAGCGGGAGCUGGCGGGUGAGCAACGGGAAUGGCUCCCUGGAGCUACCGGCGACUGUCCCCGGCUAUGUGCACAGCGCCCUGCACCAGCACGGGCUGAUCCAGGUAGGACGCACAGUCACCCCCCACACCCCCCAUGCGGGUCCAGGUCAGUAGGUGCAGCUGUGGGCAGUUGGGGGAAUGGCCUGGGAGUUCAGGCCAGUUGUGGACACUGACCCUCCCUCGCUGGGUCUUCAGUGACCUUGGAAGGCGGAAGUUGUGUAUAUGAAACAAACGGUAUGUCUGCUGUCUACUUAUUGUGGUGAUUCUCUGCUCAAGCAUUUCCUAAGAGGACUUACCUUUCUCCCUCCGGACAGGGUUACUGUUGCAAUCAUCUGGAUGCUUGUAGCUUUUAGUUAAUCAAAGUUCGCCGACCCUAGGAUGUCCGGGUUUUCUUUUUCUGCUUUGAAGCCUCGUGCGUCAGGUUUGAAAUAAACACAAGGGAUUGGGGAGAGCACUAGUAAAGUUUGGUUGUUGAUGCUAAUGAGGAGCCUAAAUAUUUGGGAGGGGAGUGUGUGCAAGUGUGUGUGUGGUGUGUGUGUGUGUGUGUGUGUGUGUGUGUGAGAGAGAGAGAGAGAGAGAGAGAGAGAGAGACCCAGAACCAUGAGUAUACUAAGCACACAUUGUACCACCACCGAACUACACCCCAAUCCUAAAGCCUGAAUACCGUGCUGACAUUUUUUUUUUAAAUGAGAGUCUGUCAUCCAACAGUGUGGUAGGUUUCUUUAUGAUAGUUUCAUGUGAGUGCACCAUGUUCUCUGCCCAUAUUCACUUUUUACUGGGUCUUGCCACCACGUGAUCCCUCCCUCGUUCAAGGAGUUUCUUUCCAUUAUGGUGUCCUAUAUACGUACACUUAUGAAUACAUAUAUUUACAUCUAGAGUCAACAUGAGUAAAAACAUGCCAUAUCUUGUUUUCAUUCUCAUUUGUCUUAUGUUGUUGUUUUGUUACCAAUUUUUAUUGUCUUCAUUAUCCUUACCUUCUUUUUUUUUUCUGGCUUUUGAGACAGGAUCCCAUGUAGUUCAGGCUGACCUUGAAUUCCCAAUGUAACUGAGGACCACCUGAACUCCUGAUCCUCCUGCCUCCUCCUCCCAUGUGCUGGAGAUAUAAGUGUUUACCAUCAUGCACAGCCUAAUUACAUCAUUUUUCCUAUGGAAAAUGUGUGUGUGUGUGUGUGUGUGUGUGUGUGUGUGUGUGUGUGUGUGUGAUUUUCUUUAACCAUUUGUCUGUUAGUGGGCAUCUGGGCUGAUUCCAUCACUUGGCUAUCAUGCCGCAACCAAAUGGCUACACAGAUAUUUCUGCACUAUGCUGUCCUAGGAUCCUUCAGGUAUCGGAAGGAGUGGUGCAGCUGUUAUGGGGGAGGGGGGGGCUUAUUCCUAGUGGUUCUUUUUAUUGCUAUUGUUUUUGAGACAGAGUUGUUUUUGUUUUGUAUUCUUUGUUAAUUUGCCUUGUUUGCUUUUUUUUUUUUCAAGACAGGGUUUCUCUGUGUAGCCCUGGCAGGCUGGCUUCAAACUUCACAAGUUUCUGCCUUCCGAGUGCUAGGAUUAAAGGCUUGAGCUACUAAUACAGGUUGAGUGUCACCAUUUUUAAUGGUUUGAGGAACAUCCAUGCUGAACUACAUAGUAAGCCUGCAUAAUUGUGUGUGUGUGUGUGUGUGUGUGUGUGUGUGUGUGUGUGUGUGAUCCAGAGGUUGGUGUUGACUGUCAUCAGUCAUAUUUACCUUAUUUAUUGAGUCCGGGACUUUCACUGAACCCCAAGCUCAGUGAAUGCCUAGACGAGUUAGCCACAGUCUCCACUCUCCCAUUGCCAGGAUUACAGUGGAAUCUCAACCCGGGCCCUCCUUGAGGACAAGCACUUCACCAGCUGAACCACGUCCCCAGGACGUUUGCCUGCACAAUUUUGAAAGCUUUCUAAGUGACCAAGCCAGCUCAAUCAGUCAACCGGGUCUCAAGGGAGGGAGUGAGGAUUG